AACGAACGCUGGCGGCAUGCCUAACACAUGCAAGUCGAACGAGACCUUCGGGUCUAGUGGCGCACGGGUGCGUAACGCGUGGGAACCUGCCCUUAGGUUCGGAAUAACUCCCCGAAAGGGGUGCUAAUACCGGAUAAUGUCUUCGGACCAAAGAUUUAUCGCCUUUGGAUGGGCCCGCGUUCGAUUAGCUAGUUGGUAGGGUAAAAGCCUACCAAGGCGACGAUCCAUAGCUGGUCUGAGAGGAUGAUCAGCCACACUGGGACUGAGACACGGCCCAGACUCCUACGGGAGGCAGCAGUGGGGAAUAUUGGACAAUGGGCGAAAGCCUGAUCUAGCAAUGCCGCGUGAGUGAUGAAGGCCUUAGGGUUGUAAAGCUCUUUUACCCGGGAUGAUAAUGACAGUACCGGGAGAAUAAGCUCCGGCUAACUCCGUG
rnacentral:rRNA from 1 species